rnacentral:rRNA from 1 species
ACGGAGGGUGCAAGCGUUAAUCGGAAUUACUGGGCGUAAAGCGAGUGUAGGCGGCAACGUAAGUCGGAUGUGAAAUCCCCGGGCUCAACCUGGGAAUGGCAUUCGAAACUGCGUAGCUAGAGUUUGACAGAGGAAUGUGGAAUUCCGGGUGUAGCGGUGAAAUGCGUAGAUAUCCGGAGGAACACCAGUGGCGAAGGCGGCAUUCUGGGUCAAAACUGACGCUGAGGCUCGAAAGCGUGGGGAGCAAACAGG